GAUCAAAAACAUACAUAUACCUAGUCACCUGCCUGCAUAAGUAUUGGUCCGCAUCUUUCAAAGUUGAUUGAUAUGGCUAGUGCUAGAGCGGUUGCCAUGUUCUACCUCGUAGUUUUUGUGACGGUCUCUUUUUUAACAAACCAUACAUGUGCAAGUAAGUCUCGAGCUGCCAUCGAAAAAGAUGAGGUGAUGGAACACUGUAAGUUCAAUAUUAGGAAAGGUGCGCACUGGCCAUUCGAACCAAGCCACGCAUGCUGCCAAGUAGUGACGCGUUCAGUGAACCUCCUGGCAAUUUGCAAUGCGUUUACCGCCGCAGAUUUGGCUCAGAUCAAUCUACAGAGGUGGGCUGCCGUCACUCGUUCGUGCGGCAACGCCUUGCAUGAAGGAGACAACUGUGCAGGUUACAUUGUUCACUUUUGAGUUGGGCGCUCCGUGCAAGGCCGAUCUGGUCGAUGGACAAAUAGAAAAAGAAAUAUUAUGAUACAAUAUUUUUCAUGACAUCUGCAUAGUGUGUUCUAUUUUUUCCGAAGCAACUAAUAAAAUCGAACCAUUUUCCCCUUCUAUUUGAUCUUGCAAAUCUAGUUACUCGCCAAAGUUAAUUCAUUUAUACCAAUAUAAGAAGAGCAAGUUGUGGAGAUUCAA